GUGGGUAGAAUUCAGCCAGGA
rnacentral:miRNA from 1 species